rnacentral:rRNA from 1 species
GACGAACGCUGGCGGCGUGCCUAACACAUGCAAGUCGAGCGGAGUUACAUGAGGAGUAAUCUGAGUGUAACUGAGCGGCGGACGGGUGAGUAACGCGUGAGCAACCUGCCUUUUACAGGGGAAUAACGCACCGAAAGGUGCACUACUACCGCAUGAGACCACAUCCUCGCAUGGGGGAGGGGUCAAAGGAGCAAUCCGGUAGAAGAUGGGCUCGCGUCCGAUUAGGUAGUUGGUGGGGUAACGGCUCACCAAGCCUGAGAUCGGUAGCCGACCUGAGAGGGUGAUCGGCCACACUGGAACUGAGAGACGGUCCAGACUCCUACGGGAGGCAGCAGUGGGGAAUAUUGGGCAAUGGGGGAAACCCUGACCCAGCAACGCCGCGUGAGGGAAGAAGGUUUUCGGAUUGUAAACCUCUGUUCUUGGAGAAGAGAAGAAGAUGGUAUCCAAGGAGGAAGCCCCGGCUAACUACGUGCCAGCAGCCGCUGUAAAAC